ACAUAUUUAAAGCUUUUGUGAGAUUUAUUGUGCAAUGCCAGCAGAAGACUCUUGAUCUCCCUGCAACUUGGCAGUCUGUUCUUUUACCAAUCACCAGGUAACUAAUUUCCAACAUGUCCAGGUUUAAGCCAGAAGAAAACGAAGACUACUGUAUCUGAGAUGAAACUGGAAAAAAAAUCACAGAAUCAAAACAUGAGCUAAAGAAACUGGAGUCCUAGAGACAGAUAUUAACUGACAGCGAGGAGAGAAAGCAAAAUGCUGAUGAGGAGGAAGAACGGGAACAAUCAAGUGUGCUUCAACCUUUGCGGGGAAAUCCAAGUGACAAUGGACUUUUUAUCUGUUAACUAUUAUCUGUUAACUUGGGGGAGACUUAGGAGAGCUGUAUGGUUUGACUCCCCAAUAACUACCAGGCAUAAUAGCAGGCAUUUUACCCAAGGAAAAAGAACUGACAUUUGCUAAGUUGUCUGCUAGAUACUAGAAAACAGGCUACUUUUUAUAUGCACAUUUCAUUGAUUCCACUAAUCCUCAGAACAUAAUACCUUUUUUUUGCAAAUGAAGAACUAGUUUUCGAAGGUUUGCAGAUGUAGCAAGUAUGUAGAAGAGGCAGGGAUUAAACAGGUCUGAACAACUCCCUAUAUUUUACUCUUUCAAAAAUACCAAGUUAGUAAGACCAGGAAAGUAAAACUCCUGUUAACAACUAGGGGAUCUUGGAAACGACACUUCUUAGAGUUAUUAUAUUAUUAACAUAUUUUUCAAAUGCAGUCUCUAUAUUGAUAGGAAUGUAAGUUCAAAUAUUUUAGAGGUUUUUACAAGGAGGUAGAAAUAUCAAACACAUAAAGAACCAUCCCAAGUAUUUUUGUUUUCAUUCCAAAAUU